rnacentral:rRNA from 1 species
UACGUAGGGAGCGAGCGUUGUCCGGAUUUAUUGGGCGUAAAGAGCGCGUAGGCGGCUCGGUAAGCCGGAUGUGAAACCUCCAAGCUCAACUUGGAGCGGCCAUUCGGAACUGCCGUGGCUAGAGUCUGGUAGGGGAACACGGAAUUCCUGGUGUAGCGGUGAAAUGCUUAGAUAUCAGGAGGAACACCAGUGGCGAAGGCGGUGUUCUGGGCCAGUACUGACGCUGAGGCGCGAAAGCGUGGGGAGCAAACAGG